AGGUCUAUGAUGACAAACCAAUGUCAUGCAGAGAGAUGAUGACAUAAAAAUCAUUCUCAAUAGGAUUGCGAUGAGGUCC
ensembl:snoRNA SNORD115 Small nucleolar RNA SNORD115